GACGAACGCUGGCGGCGUGCUUAACACAUGCAAGUCGAACGGAAAGGCCCCUUUGGGGGUACUCGAGUGGCGAACGGGUGAGUAACACGUCAGUAACCUGCCCUUCACUUCGGGAUAACUUCAGGAAACUGGGGCUAAUACCGGAUAGGAAUCCUUGCUGCAUGGUGGGGGUUGGAAAGCUUCGGCGGUUUUGGAUGGACUCGCGGCUUAUCAGCUUGUUGGUGGGGUAGUGGCUUACCAAGGCUUUGACGGGUAGCCGGCCUGAGAGGGCGACCGGCCACAUUGGGACUGAGAUACGGCCCAGACUCCUACGGGAGGCAGAAGUGGGGAAUAUUGCACAAUGGGCGGAAGCCUGAUGCAGCAACGCCGCGUGCGGGAUGACGGCCUUCGGGUUGUAAACCGCUUUCAGCAGGGGCGAAGCUUGUGGUGACGGUACCUGCAGAAGAAGCACCGGCUAACUACGUG
rnacentral:rRNA from 1 species